rnacentral:rRNA from 1 species
AUUGAACGCUGGCGGCAGGCCUAACACAUGCAAGUCGAACGAGUGGCGGACGGGUGAGCAAUGUCUGGGAAACUGCCCGAUGGAGGGGGAUAACUACUGGAAACGGUAGCUAAUACCGCAUACCAUCGGAGUUGACCAGAUUGGAUUAGAUUGUAGGUGAGGUAACGGCUCACCUAGGCGACGAUCCCUAGCUGGUCUGAGAGGAGAACCAGCCACACUGGAACUGGGACACGGUCCAGACUCCUACGGGAGGCAGCAGUUGGGAAUAUUGCAACAUGGGCGAAAGCCUGAUCCAGCCAUGCCGCGUGUGUGAAGAAGGUCUUCGGAGUGUAAAGCACUUUAAGUUGGGAGGCGUUACCAACAGAAUAAGCACCGGCUAACUUCGUGCCAGCAGCCGCGGUAAUUC